GGUUCCUUAGAUCGUAUCUACUACAUGGAUAACUGUAGUAAUUCUAGAGCUAAUACAUGCCAUUAUGCCCUGCCCCGCAAGGGAACGGGUGGAUUUAUUAGAACAGAACCAACCGGUGGCUUCGUGCUACUGUUGCAAUCUGUGAUGACUCUGGAUAACUUCUCUGAUCGCAGUCGGCCUUGAGCUGGCGACGGAUCUUUCAAAUGUCUGCUCUAUCAAUUGUCGAUGGUAGGUGACCUGCCUACCAUGGUGAUAACGGGUAACGGGGAAUCAGGGUUCGAUUCCGGAGAGGGAGCCUGAGAAACGGCUACCACUUCCAAGGAAGGCAGCAGGCGCGCAAAUUACCCAAUCCCGGCACGGGGAGGUAGUGACGAAAAAUACAGAUACGGGACUCAUUUGAGGCUCCGUAAUUUGAAUGAGUACAAUUUAAAUCCUUUAACGAGGAUCAACUGGAGGGCAAGUCUGGUGCCAGCAGCCGCGGUAACUCCAGCUCCAGUAGCGUAUAUUAAAGUUGUUGCAGUUAAAAAGCUCGUAGUUGGAUCUGGGUCGUAUUGCUACGUGCCGUUGCUUGCAUCGUUGUCCUGGUCACGACUGGGACACGUGUGUGAGUCGGAGUCGUGGUGGUACAGCCUUUCUGCUGUGUCUGUUUCGACAGGUGCUGACAGAUUGUGUCUGUUGGCAUGCUUCCGGAUGCCUUUAAACGGG
rnacentral:rRNA from 1 species